UACGUAGGGAGCUAGCGUUGUCCGGAAUCAUUGGGCGUAAAGCGCGCGUAGGCGGCCCGGUAAGUCCGCUGUGAAAGUCAAAGGCUCAACCUUUGAAUGUCAGCGGAUACUGCCGGGCUAGAGUCCGGAAGAGGCGAGUGGAACUCCUGGUGUAGCGGUGGAAUGCGCAGAUAUCAGGAAGAACACCAAUGGCGAAGGCAGCUCUCGUGGGACGGUACUGACGCUGAGACGCGAAAGCGUGGGGAGCGAACAGG
rnacentral:rRNA from 1 species